rnacentral:rRNA from 1 species
CCCUUAGAUGUUCGGGGCCGCACGCGCGCUACACUGAAGGAAUCAGCACGUCUUUCUCCUUGUCCGAAAGGACUGGGUAACCCGCUGAACCUCCUUCGUGCUAGGGAUUGGGGCUUGUAAUUCUUCCCCAUGAACGAGGAAUUCCCAGUAAGCGCGAGUCAUAAGCUCGCGUUGAUUACGUCCCUGCCCUUUGUACACACCGCCCGUCGCUACUACCGAGUGGAUGGUUUAGUGAGAUCCUCGGAUUGGUCCCGGAGCGGCCUCUGGUCGUGCCGGAGUGCCGAAAAGAAUGUCGAACUUGAUCAUCUAGAGGAAGUAAAAGUCGUAACA